rnacentral:lncRNA from 1 species
AUGGGCAGCACUCAAAAUUGCUCCUGUUGGCACAGAAAUAGACAUCUAAUCAUUUUCAUCUUCCUACUCUUGGUUUCAAGCUCGACCCAUCUGAGAUUCAUGGCUGAAGGUUAACAACUCCUCCCCCAUUGUUCAAAUUCAUUCGCUAAUGUAACCCUCUUUGUUCAAAAGAAAAAGCAAAACUAACAUGGGUUCUGUUUCUUUUUUUCUUUUUCAGGUGCUAGACUAAUUUCAAGCAAGCUUACUAAGGCUGCUCCGGUAAGACUUCAUAUUAUAUAUAUAUAUAUAUAUAUAUAUAUAUAUGUAUGUGGUAUUGCUAAUUUGCAUAAUAAAUUCUCCUAUGCGGAUGUCUGGACAUUAUUAUAUGUCUAUACUAUUGCUAAUUUGCUUCUUUCUACCAGUUGAAUAUGAAGUCUGCAAACUCUAUACCAGAGUGUUAAUUGAUUCCUGACUGAGUUUUUAUAAUUAUAUUUACGCAGAGAGGUCAUGUUCUUGAGGAAAAUGAAGCUGGGGUGGUGGUCAACGCACGUCAAAUAGGAUCAAGACCACCAAGGUGUGAGAGCAGGUGCAGUGCUUGUGGGCAUUGUGUGGCAGUUCAGGUCCCUGUUUCCCCCCAAGUCCAAGGCCACAGUAAAAUCAGAAGCCAUGGCAGCCUCCCUGAUUCCACCAGAACAAGCCCCAAGAAUGUAGCUUACUCCAGAGGCGAUGACAUUACAAAUUAUAAGCCUAUAAGCUGGAAAUGCAAGUGUGGGGAUUUGCUCUUCAACCCUUGA